AAUUUGAUGGGUCCUAUUAAGGUUUGCCUAGUUUUCGUGAUUAUUCCUUGCCAACCUGGGUUUACCUUUCUGUUGGGUAGCUAUGCUUAGCUGCUAUACUUGGGUUAUGGUGGUUCUAAUGAACAAAGAUGAUGAACUUAUUUUAUUUAUGCUACACCUUCCUUUAAUACAAGAUCACUGUGAUUAAUUGGAACAUGGAGAACCACC
rnacentral:lncRNA from 1 species